rnacentral:rRNA from 1 species
AGAGUUUGAUUAUGGCUCAGGAUGAACGCUAGCGACAGGCUUAACACAUGCAAGUCGAGGGGCAGCAUAAAAGUAGCAAUACUUGGUGGCGACCGGCGCACGGGUGAGUAACGCGUAUGCAACCUACCUAUCAGAGGGGAAUAACCCGGCGAAAGUCGGACUAAUACCGCAUAAAACAGGGGCACCGCAUGGUGAUAUUUGUUAAAGAAAUUCGCUGAUAGAUGGGCAUGCGUUCCAUUAGGUAGUUGGUGAGGUAACGGCUCACCAAGCCGACGAUGGAUAGGGGAACUGAGAGGUUGGUCCCCCACACUGGUACUGAGACACGGACCAGACUCCUACGGGAGGCAGCAGUGAGGAAUAUUGGUCAAUGGGCGGGAGCCUGAACCAGCCAAGUCCGCGUGAAGGAAGAAGGAUCUAUGGUUCGUAAACUUCUUUUGCAGGGGAAUAAAGUGCAGGACGUGUCCUGUUUUGUAUGUACCCUGAGAAUAAGGAUCGGCUAACUCCGUGCCAGCCGCCGC